rnacentral:rRNA from 1 species
UCAGACGAUGCGUCAUGCAUAUCAAUAAGCGGAGGAAAAGAAACUAACAAGGAUUCCCCUAGUAACGGCGAGUGAAGCGGGAAGAGCUCAAAUUUGAAAUCUUAAAGGGUUUCCCUUUACGAAUUGUAGUUUAAAGAAGUGUUUUCUGUUGAGGUUUUGGUAAAAGUUCUUUGGAAUAGGACAUCAUAGAGGGUGAGAAUCCCGUAUUUGACCUUUACUUUCAACUUUGUGAUACACUUUCAAAGAGUCGGAUUGUUUGGGAAUGCAGUCCAAAAUGGGUGGUAAAUUUCAUCUAAAGCUAAAUAUUGGCGAGAGACCGAUAGCGAACAAGUACCGUGAGGGAAAGAUGAAAAGAACUUUGAAAAGAGAGUUAAACAGUACGUGAAAUUGUCAAAAGGGAAGCGUUUGACACCAGUGUUGUUUUUCUGAAAAUCAAUUAAAGAACUGUUUAUGCUAAGCUGUUUAGACUUUAUCAGCUAUCUGUUUAGUUUUGAGCUUUUCUUUAAUGCACUUUUCAGUUAACAAGUCAACAUCAAUUUCUUUUGCUGUAAAAAAGCUUGAGGAAGGUGGCUUGAGAUUCGUCUUAAGUGUUUAUAGCCUCUUGCCUAUGCAGUCGGAGAGAUUGAGGUCUGCAGCGUAGAUCCUUCGGGGCUAAAUGCAUUUGUGCUAAGUUAUAGCAUUCUAUAGACAACUUGUUGACUAUGAUUUGUCUUGUAGCUUACUCGCUUAUGUUAUUUUACCUACGCUUAGGAUGUUGACACACGCGCGUGCUCG